AACGGUCUAUACCUGCGGUACCUGCGGAAGGAUCGUUAAUGAGAAACUGCCCCUCGCGGGUAGAUCUCCCACCCUUUGUAAACUUACCUUUGUUGCUUUGGCAGGCCCGUCUCCGGACCGCCGGCUUCGGCUGGCCAGUGCCUGCCAGAGGAUUCUAAAACUCUGUCUGUCAGUGUUGUCUGAGUCUAUAUACAAUCGUUAAAACUUUCAGCAACGGAUCUCUAGAUCGGAAGAGCACAC
rnacentral:misc_RNA from 1 species